AACAGUGUAAACAAUAUCCAUUUAUUUAGAUAUUUAGGAAAUAUUCUGAUAUAGUGAAGCUUUAUUAUUUAAUCUUUGCACAAAGAAGACAUCAUUCGACACAGACAUGUUACAUUUAAAGGGAGUGACAAACCCAGCGACCCUCAACAAUAAAUAUGCCGAUGCGUCUUUACACUCUAGGCUUGGUGUGAUAUGCAUUUAGAAACAUCAAAUGAAGAAUUUGCAGAGCUGCGUGGAUUUAGACGACACAACGACAACCCCCUUUAAGAAAUGCAUCAUUCCCUCUGCGUAACUUGAGUCUCUGCGUAACCAAAAUGAUUACAUAAUUUUUCACAAAUCAUGACACAGAAAAAAGAAAGACAAGCAGCCAACAAUAAAACACUCACAGUGCACUGGUGUGAGUUAUGGCACAAAGUUUUGUCUUCUGUGACCUGACAGCACACAGAGAGGUUUGAGUGUGGAGGCCACAGCAAGCAGCUGAGUGUCACGAACACGGCAGACAGAAAACAACCUGACGUUACUGCGGGACUGUUUCAGUGGAUACUCCUGGAGGUAUGAGGUUCUCAGUGGACUAAAUAAACCGAUGUAUGCAGACGUCUCUGUUAAGGCAUGAAAUGAGAAACGAGGUAACGUCUAUCUACUGCAUCGUCACAGUUGCAAUAAAGAUAAGAGACAUCCCGUCCCCACUGCUCUGAAUAGAAGACAUCACAGACACAAACAGAACAGCAUGACGAACACCAGGACAAGUGUCUCUGUAAAUAUUAUAUGCCUUUUUCUUACAUAUAUAACUGCUAUGUAAAGAUACAGUCUUUGGUCCCAAAUAAAAUAUUGUGCACAACAUACACUUUAGAGUUAGAGCUGAACUCAAUGAGACAAUGGUAGGACAUUAUGACUGCAUGAUGAUGGCGAUAGCACAACCGGUGUUGGUUUAUUUAUCUACCGGUGAAGCCGCAAUCUACUGCCUUCUUCCUAAAACUAACAAACAGAUAAAACACAUUCAAAUGUAGUGUCUCUACAUUUAAAAGGGGAAUUGGUUGGUUUUUUGCUGUGUUUCCACAGCCAGGCCCCAAAGAUGAAGCCUGGGAUGACAGAGGCUGUGGGAGGGUCUACCAUACAAAGUUCCUGAUUGGUCACCAUGAUUUUCUCUCCAGUUAUGGUGCACACUGUGGUCCGUGCCAUAGUCUCUCCUAUUCCUGCAGCCGUUACAACCCUUGCAAUCCCUCCCAUCUCUGCAACCCUCACAAUUCCUACAACCCCUAAUAUCCCUGCUACCAAUUUCUGCAAUCUGUUCCAUUCCUCCAACUACUGCAACCCCAGUAAUCUCUCACAUCCAUGUAACUCUGUCAAUCUGUGCAACUGUGGAUUUUUUCUCUCCUUUUAAAUGUGAAAAUACGAGGUGCAUAUACAUGAACACAAAGGUCGCAACUACUUCAUAAGCUGCUGUGAGACUGUGCUGUAAUACAGGGAGCACGAUUAGACGGCGCAACAUCUUCUCACAUGAAAAAGUCAUGUGACCAUGUUUACAGUUUAGCGUUAGCCUUUCAGAUUGCAUCCACGCUAAAACCACAAAAAGUCAAAAUUGUGUUGAAUUUGUUUCGGUUAUCCUGUUGAGCGUCUCUGAUUUAUCCUAAACUUUUAUUUUUUAGCAGAGUUGAUGGAAAAGUUUUUAUCCACAUCAAGAUGUUUACUUUACAAACAUCAUCACUUAACAAAGCACUGGACAUGAUGGAGUUUUAGCUGGAAACACGUGUAUUCGACUUUAUGAACAUUUUGAAGUGCAAAUGACAGAAAAAAAACAUCUCUUUCUAAAAUAUAAAAUCUCAUAGACUUCUGGAUUACAACAUGUCAUACUCCACUUCUAUGUGAUUAAAAUACAUAUGCUGUGUUAUAUAUUUAUUCCCUUUACUCCAUUUCAAAUAAAGGUGCUAAGAUAAGUCACUCACUUUAUCUUUAGAAUGGCUCUUUAUAACGUUUAUACAAAUCUGCACCACAUCACAUGUUAUAUCAUCUCCUUUUUCAAUAUAGACAUAUUUUCUAUUUUAAAUAGUCAUUACUGAGUUAAAUAAUCCUUUCUCUUAUCUUAAAUAGGUAUUUGAUAUCAUUGCUGAAAAAACAUUUCUGCUCUUGAUGAGGACCAGAGAUGAGACCUUAUGUCGAUUGCUGCUGUAACAUACAUUCAGCCCUCAGUCUGAGGACAGAGAAGAUAAGAGAGUGACUCUGAUUUGUCAUAUUUCAGACAGAGGAAGGAGUUUUCUUCAUUUAGGAGACGUAAAGUCAAAACAGUCCUGUCCUUUCAAACUGUUUAAGACUUUCAGUAAAACCAAAAACUUUACUUUUUGUGUUUUAUAGAGCAUCUGGAUAGAAAAAACAUCCAUCCGUCACCUCUCUCACACGUGGGACUCAUCCAGGUCCAGGUCGACGGGUGAGAGGGGGAGGGGAGAGCGGCGGGGCGACCGGCGGGGGGGAGGAGGGGACAGCAGCGGGGUGAGAAGCGGGUUCUCGGUGCCGUCGUCCUCGCUGAGGUGCAGCAGGGUGUCGCUGCGCGGCAGCAGGGCGGUUGUGUCCUCGUCCCCGGGGCUCUCUCUGAUCCUAGAAGGCCCCGGGGGUGGUGGAGGAGGAGGAGCAGCAGCAAGAUGAGUUGGUGGUAAUGGAGGUGGCGGCGGUGGACCCGGAGCGGGUGCUGUGCUCAGCACUGGGAGUGGCGGUGGAAGAGGAGAGGAGGUGCGGGACAAAGGGAGAGGGGAGCAGGUUCUGGAGAGGGGGAGAGGGGAGCAGGUUCGGGAUGGGGGUGUUGGAGUGGAAGGCCGGGAGAUGGAUGGGGGAGGGGAGAGGCUGCUGCGUAGCCCCCACUGCUCUCUCUUCUCCUUGCUGCUUAAUGCUUGAGGGACCUGUGUGGGAAUACACCUGCUCCUGUAGUUUAGCUUUUAAAGGGCUACUUCACACAUAAAUGACAUAAAAUUAUAUUUUUAUCUCCUUAAAAUUAGAGGAAUAGCUGCAGAUGGUCAUCAUUCUGGUUUGAAGGCCGUAAAGGCGUGCCACAGGGCUCAAUACUAGGUCCACUCACUGGCCACUUUGUUAGGUACAGUUGUUCAACUACUUGCUAGCACAAAUAUCUAAUCGAUCAACCCUUUAUAUUUAGGCAUGUACACAUCGUGAAGACGACUUGCUGAAGUUGAAACUGAGCAUCAGAAUGAGGAAGAAAGGUGAUUUAAAUGACUUUG
ensembl:lncRNA